rnacentral:rRNA from 1 species
CCCUGUGAUGACCGCGGAGGAC